AACCUGUGCACAGUUCACGGGGAGAAAGUCUUCCAUGAGCACAUGCUGUUAGAGCAGCAUCAACCACAAAAGGAACAGCUUCGAGGAUGUCCCAAGCAGGUAACUUAGGCCUUGGAGAAGUAUCCUCACUUCCAGUUCCAGAAGAACUGCUACUUCCGGAUGGCUUCGAGGAUAUCCCAAGCAGGUAACUUAGGCCUUGGAGAAGUAUCCUCACUUCCAGUUCCAGAAGAACUGCUACUUCCAGAUGUUAUGGAGAUCAAACUCUGACUUCCCCUGUUAAUCUUUUUGAACAUCAUAUUGAGUAAGAGAUCAACAGUUUGACAGACAAGAGUCCCAUUUACAAGACCUGACAAAGUUGAAGCUAUACAUGCCAAAUGUUGCCUAUACCAAACUCUCAAUUUUGGAAAUGAGUCCACAAAUAUAGGAUUAGGAGAAGAUGAACUUGCAACAGCUGCAAGCCUCCUUCUAUUUGGAUCCUUUAGCAUGUCUCCGGAAGACAUAAGAUGAGAAUUCCUCAUUAGUAGGAGGUAUUCAGGAGUUAGUUGGCAUCCCACAGGGGGCACAUCUCCGACUCUAUAUUCAAUAGGUGGAUGGUUGAACCUCCAUAAUUUUAGUAGUAGAGCAAAGGCAUUUGAGAACACAGCAUGCACUGAGAUGUCCUCUCCUGUUGUCAGCGUCCAUGAGAUAUUA
rnacentral:lncRNA from 1 species